UCUCCGUUGGUGAACCAGCGGAGGGAUCAUUACAGAGUUGCAAAACUCCCAAACCAUUGUGAACGUUACCUAUCCCGUUGCUUCGGCGGGCGGCCCGGGCCCCGCGCCCGGCGCCCCCCGGCCCCCCGUGGGCGCCCGCCGGAGGUAAACCAAACCCUUGAAUUGCAUGGCCUCUCUGAGUCUUCUGUACUGAUUAAGUCAAAACUUUCAACAACGGAUCUCUUGGUUCUG
rnacentral:misc_RNA from 1 species